rnacentral:rRNA from 1 species
CGGGUGAGUAACGCGUACGAAACCUACCUUUAAGAGAGGAAUAGCCCUGGGAAACUGGGAGUAAUACCUCAUAGUAUUCAUUGACCGCAUGGUUGAUGGAUUAAAGCUGAGGCGCUUAAAGAUGGUCGUGCGUCUGAUUAGCUAGUUGGUAGGGUAACGGCCUACCAAGGCUACGAUCAGUAGGGGGCGUGAGAGCGUGGCCCCCCACACGGGUACUGAGACACGGACCCGACUCCUACGGGAGGCAGCAGUAAGGAAUAUUGGGCAAUGGACGAAAGUCUGACCCAGCCAUCCCGCGUGCAGGACGAAUGCCCUAUGGGUUGUAAACUGCUUUUGUUUGGGAAGAAAUGUAUUCUUUUAAGAGUAUUUGACGGUACCAGACGAAUAAGCACCGGCUAACUCCGUGCCAGCAACCGCGGUAAUACGGAGGGUGCAAGCGUUAUCCGGAAUCACUGGGUUUAAAGGGUGCGUAGGCGGCCAGAUAAGUCAGAGGU